CCCUUAGAUGUUCUGGGCUGCACGCGCGCUACACUGAUGCACUCAACGAGUUUACGACCUUGCCCGAUAGGGUUGGGUAAUCUUUUUAAAAUGCAUCGUGAUGGGGAUAGAUUAUUGCAAUUAUUAAUCUUCAACGAGGAAUUCCUAGUAAGCGCGAGUCAUCAGCUCGUGCUGAUUACGUCCCUGCCCUUUGUACACACCGCCCGUCGCUCCUACCGAUUGAGUGCUCAGGUGAAUAAUUCGGACUGCAGCAAUGUUUGGAUCCCGAACGUUGCAGCGGAAAGUUUAGUGAACCUUAUCACUUAGAGGAAGGAGAAGUCGUGACA
rnacentral:rRNA from 1 species